GACGAACGCUGGCGGCGUGCUUAACACAUGCAAGUCGAACGGAAAGGCCCUUCUUUUGUGGGGUUCUCGAGUGGCGAACGUGUGAGUAACACGUGAGUCACCUUCCUUUUACUUUGGUAUAACUUCAGGAAACUGGGUCUAAUACCUGAUAGGAGCUCCUGCUGCAUGGUGGGUGUUGGAAAGUUUAGGCGGUUGGGGAUGGACUCGCGGCUUAUCCGCUUGUUGGUGGGGUAGUGGUUUACCAAGGCUUUGACGGGUAGCCGGCCUGAGAGGGUGACCGGCAACAUUGGGACUGAGAGACGGCCCAGACGCGUAAGGGAGGCAGCAGGGGGAAAUAUGGCACAAUGGGGGGAAGCCUGAGAAAGAAACGCCGCGUGCGGGAUGAAGGCCUUCGGGUGGUAAACCGCUUUCGCCUGUGACGAAGCGUGAGUGACGGUAAUGGGUAAAGAAGCACCGGCUAACUACGUG
rnacentral:rRNA from 1 species